rnacentral:lncRNA from 1 species
GAAGUGGGGAUCGGCGAGCGGGUGGGUGCGCCUCGGGCCGCGGGACUCGCAGCCGCCGCCGCCGCUGCCGCCUCUACGGCCGCGUCAGAACAGAAGAGAGGAAGGGGAGGAGCCGAGUCGAGCCUAAGCUGCCGCCCGAUCUUACCCCUGACCCGAGGGCGGCCUGGAGGCUUGGUCUGUAGCGGUUUCCUUCGGGGCAGGUGGGGACUGCUCCUUUGGGAGGAAGGAGGAGGCCCAGGCCGCGCUUUCAGGCAGCUGCGCGCACCACCCGAAGGUGAGGCAUUUGGCCCCAAACAGACCCUCGAAAAGCCGGACUGAUCGAGGAGUUACCCUACAGCCUGAUCUGCUGCACCUGCUCCAGGGAGAGAGCGCCCCACCCUUCCCGUGGUGUGGGGUGAGACCCGGCGUUGGAUAACGUGUGGUCGGGCCGAGCAAAUGUUUGAUGAAUGAAUGAAUGAAUGAAUGCCUCUCUCACGUGGCACUCGCGAAGCUCAGAGGAUAUGGUGGAAGUGCAAGCGCUUUGUAAACUACAGUGCAUUGUAAAAAUGAGUUGUAAUACAUUCCUCCCCUCCCCCUAGCCAUGAAAGGAAACAGGGGUGCGGCUUGAGUACAGAGUCACAACCUGAGUCUUUAGUGGAAAAGGAGACGAAAUGCCGGGCAGGGGAAGGGACCCAUCCUCGCGCAGAUUCUUAGGGCGGCGGGAAGGGAGGAUUGGAAGGGAGCCAUCCUCUGGGAGAUUGUUGAAGGAUUUUUGACUGUCAGGGGAAGAAUUUAAUAGUGCCUCAUUUUUACGAAUGGUUCUUUCUUAUGAUUUGGAGCUUUCGAAAGCUUCUGGUCUUGGUUCAUCCGUGUACGUUGUCAUCAAGAAAUGUUGGCCUGUGUUUCAGGUCUGACUCAAAGGUUAUUUUCUUUCUAAAAUAAAUGUUAUUACUAUUAUGCAGCUUUCCCUACAGAUGUUGUCCUGGAAAGGAAAGUCAAGUAAAAACUCAUGAAGUUUAAAGUGUAGUUCUCUAGGAAAAGAAAUUUAAGAUAAAAGGACCAGAAUCCUCAGAAAUCUGUCUUCAGUGAAUAGUAUGAGAAAAAGAUUAAAGCAGCAGCAAUAAUGAAAGCAGAUUCCACAAUUCUGUCCCUGGACCCUAGUACACUCUACCUCCUUGGGAAGUAGUAGUAAUGGAUUUUACAAGUCUUUCCACCUGGAGGAGGGGGUAAGAUAGGAGCAAGUGUAUUAUAGACAAAUGUGGGAAGCUCUGGGUUUCUCCCACUACUGCCACUACCAUCUGCAAACGGUAGACUAAGGAAACUUUUAACUGGGUAAAUCCAAGGGCUCGUGUUCAUUAAAAUGCUGCGGGAAAGGUGGUGACAGGGGCAAAGGAGGAUGUGGCAAAACCAAGGAGAGACUCACAGACUAGCACCUGACCCUACUGCCCUUGACCUGAAGUUCCAAGAGCCAGGUUAAAUAUCCUGCUUAAAUUACCUUGGAUUUUUCUGUCUUUACAUGACCAAUCCCCUGCUACAGCCUUCCAAAUAAGACUCACAGUUAAUCAGACCAACAAGUGAUGAUCUCACAUGGCUACAAAAUAAAUAUUUUUUGUUUUUCCCUCUCUUCCUAUCUUACAGCAGGGGAAUGGUGGAAAUUAAAGGAGUAAAACACACAGAUUUAGGGGAUUUUGUGAAGCUAAACACCUCAGAGAGUUUAACCUUUGUGGGCUUUGAAGGAAAAGAGUGCAAACAUCAGAGUUCUGCAGCCCAGCGGAGAACACCUCCAGUUAAGUGUGUACCACAUAGGGUUUUUCAGCAGCGUGAUCUUCUGUUUUCGUUGUCAGUGGCUCCACCUUACAACCUCGGUGCUGAGGAACAGAAGGGCACUCAGGAGAGCCUGAGCCACUUACUUAGAAAGUAUUUAAUAACAGCACACUAAGCUUACUGGGCUAGAUACCCACCUCAACACCCAGCUUGAUAACAGGAGGAAACAGCUGGAACUGGAGACUGGAGAGAAGGAAGUUCAUACAUUUCCAACUUGGUCUGCAUCUCUUUAGUUCCUUGUAUUGCUUAUUAAUCCAGAGGAGAAAACAGCUACUUAAUUAAAAAUUCCAAAAAAUCUGAAGUUUUAGCUAAUAGUUCCUUCCCUGGUUCAUCAAUUUAAGAUAAGGAUCUAAAUACUGUGUUAAAAUAUAGAAAAAUGGAGACUCUUAUAAGGUUUUUGACCUCUACACUUGAAAGUGAGCUCUUACAAGACUAAUCAGUGUUUUGCUAUUCCACAUCAGUGGCUUUUACUGUCAAAGAUUGUGUAAGCUAAAUUAUCUGGCAAAAUUUUGCUUUCCAGGAAUACUAUCUAUAUUAAUUUUAACAUUUUUAUUGUGAAAUAUAGUUUAAAUACAUAAAGCAAUUAUAUAGUAUAAGUGAUUAUGAAGGAAACCACCAUGUAACCAAUCAACCAGGUCAAGAAAUGGAAUAUUUCCAGCACCUCAGAAGUUCCCCUCCCUGCCAUGACCUUCCCAAACACAACUCUUUCCCUCCCUCCUAAAUGUAGCCAUUAUUCUAACAUUUGUGAUAAUUAUUUCCCUGCUUUUCUUUGUCGCUUUGUCACAAGCGUGCAUCCCUAAACAAUAUAUUGUUUAGUUUCACUCUUUCUUUUGAACUUUAUGUAACUGGAACAAUAUAAUAUGUAAUCUGUUGUUCUUGCUGCUUUUGCUCAACAUUGUUUUUAAUUCAUGUUGUUCAGGUUGUUCCUAUAGCUGUAAUUUGUGCAUUUUCAUUGCUGCAUAUUACAGUGUCCCAUUGUAACAGUAUGUGACAAUGUGUUUAGCCAUUCUAUUGCUGAUGGACAUCUGGGUUGUUUCCAGUUUAGGAUUGUUAUAAAUGCUAAUGUGAACAUUCUUCAUAUAUGUAUUCCAUCACAUCUACAUCAGUUUCUGUAUAGCAUAUACCUGGGAGUGUAAUAUGUAUCAUAAACUUGAAUAAAUAAUGCCAAGUUCUUUUCUAGAGGGUUACACACUCAACA